rnacentral:lncRNA from 1 species
CUAGCAUGCCUGAGGCACUGGGUUCAAUCCUCAGCACCACAUAAAAAUAAAUAAAAUAAAGGUAUUCUGUCCAUCUACAACUACAAAAAAUAAAAAAUGAAAGAAAAAAAAAAGAAAUUGCUGAGACCCACAAAAGGGAAGAGGUGCUGAAACAUGGGAAAUUAAGACAUGGAUGAUAAUAUGACCAUAAUACUGGACAAUACUAUACGAAUUUACAUGAACUAGACCACGGUGGGGAAACUAUAGCCCAUGGACCAAUCCCAGCCUGUUUGUGUAAAGUUUUAUUGGAAUAUUGCCAUAUUCAUUCAUGUACAUAUAUUCUUUUCUUUCUUUUUUUUUUUUUUUUGUGUGUGUGGUGCUGGGGAUUGAAACCAGGGCUUUGUGCAUACAAGGCAAGCACUCUACCAACUGAACUAUAUCCCCAACCCCCUCAUGUACAUAUUUUCUGUGGUUGCUUUUGUGCUAAAACAGAGUUCAGAGUUGUUGUUUUUUUAAAAUAUUUAUUUUUUAGGUGUAGAUGGACACAACACAAUGCCUUUAUUUUUAUGUGGUGCUGAGGAUCGAACCCGGGUCCCACCCGUGCUAGGCGAGCGCUCUACCGCUGAGCCACAAUCCCAGCCCCAAGUUCAGAGUUUUAAUGGAGAUCAAAUAUACCCCAC